UUGGUUUCUUCCUCACCAACACUACAAGUGUCUAAAUCUAAAGUUUGAGCUUAAAAGAUAACAUUGUUGUUGUGAACUUGCAAGAUUGGCUGAGCGGUGAUGUUGUUGUUCUUAGCCGAAUGGUGAUGUUGUUGUAGACUUGGAGUGGAACAUUGUUGGUGGUGCUGGUGUUUUUGAAGUUGUUGUUGUAUGUUCAUCUUGUUCUUCACCUAGUCUUACAAUAUAACCAACAAAAAGUGCAAAGAGAUUCAAAAGUGGUAAAGAAAAAAGUUGUAAAGUUGUUUGUAAGAAGACUUGAACCAUCACUUCCU
rnacentral:lncRNA from 1 species